AGACCAGAUUAUUUUAGCCUCGAACGCAGACUGCGGGCGCGCUCCUAUACUCUCGACACCAAGCGCCACCACUCGGCGUGGACUGCGGGAAUCGACGGACUAGCGUGUGUUUUUCUCUGUGCGUGGCGCUUGUUUGUGUCGUUGCUUGUUUGUGUUGUAGCUACUCACGGUUUGAGUGAGUAGCAACGAUGUACAAAAGCUACUCGUCAGGGCGGCAUUGUGCAGUCGUCGGCUGCACGAACAAUCAACGCAAGCGCAAGCUUCUGAUGAAUGAAAUCUGCGCCGACCAUCAGUGCAACCGAGGUACGUGUGGGUGCGGUGUGUACUCAUUGCACAGAUUUCCGGCUGCACCUGAAAAGUGUCGGGAAUGGGAAAUUGCCCUCAACCGCAAGGACUUCAAGCCAAGCAAGCUUGCACGUGUCUGUUCCGUUCACUUUGUUGACGGCAAACCUACUGCCCUAAAUCCGUGCCCAAUGCUUGGCCUCGGCUACGCAAAAAAGGUGAGCGCGUCUUGCAAACUUGCUUUCUUGAGGUGGAAGUGGUUGUUCAGAAAUCGUAAGGAAUCCGAAUUGCAUUUGUGUGAGAUACCUGUUUGGGCUCGCGCUUACCCGUGAAUGUUCUUGGUGUGCAUAAAAACGCCUCGUACGAAGUGCUGGAAGACGUAGCCGCACAUAGCGAGGAAUUGUUAACCGUUGGCGCAAAGCUGUCUUGCCAUUUUGCCAUUCCCAUUGGUGUACCAUUACAUGCAUGAUCAUUAGGGAGUCAGAACGCGGCGGUAAACGGCGUCAGACGCGAAUAUUGGGUACGCCGUGAACUCGCUGUUAACGCCGGUGGUCAGCAAGAGGUGGGCGCGUCAAGCAUUCAUAUUUACGCAUUCGAGCUCCAUGCAUAUCACUUUGCCCCAAAAGCAAGUUUAAGUGAGUGUGACACCGCUUGCGCUACGACGUACGCGCGCAUACACACUUUGCACAGAUUGUUCUAGUGCGCUAUAUUUGUAAAAUAGUUACAGACGUGCUGUUGUUCAAAAUGUGUGGUUAAAAUUAACACGCCGCAACUUUCUUGAAGAAAUAAUGCAGAGAUGGGAUACUCAGUAAAUGUCAAAGGCGCGGGCUCGUUCCUAUGUUUUCGAUCUACGCAGUUCACGUGAACUGUCCGCAUGCGUGUACGCAGGUGACACGUGGAAGGAGGCCAAUCCUGAGAACCCUCCAGCCAACUUCAGUGGCUGCGUCAGUGCAGCUUAUGGACAGUCAGGCCACACACCGUGAUGUCCCAGCAGUGAUAGUCGCACCAGCUCCAUCUCCGCUGAGUUCAACGGGGUACACAGGAGAACAGAUGCAGCAAAAUUCAGCACACCCAGA